rnacentral:rRNA from 1 species
UACGGGGGGGGCAAGCGUUGUCCGGAAUCAUUGGGCGUAAAGAGCGCGUAGGCGGCUAGAUAAGUCCGGUGUGAAAGUCACAGGCUCAACCUGUGAAUGCCGCUGGAAACUGUCUGGCUAGAGUCCGGAAGGGGCGAGUGGAAUUCCUGGUGUAGCGGUGAAAUGCGCAGAUAUCAGGAGGAACACCAAUGGCGAAGGCAGCUCGCUGGGACGGUACUGACGCUGAGGCGCGAAAGCGUGGGGAGCAAACAGG